GUCGAAAAACGAAUGGUCCACUUCACCUUCUAGUUCACCGGGGCUCAACAUGGCAGUCCUCCCCAACAAACUGAACCUGUGGUACGGACCACACAGUCCAUGGGAAGAAUUGUAGACAGGAAGUGGGAUUUCUGCAGUGUUCUCCUGAGGAUUGGUGCUGAAAGAGGGCCUGUCUUUGUCGCCUCCAUCAUCAGGCGAAGUGCAGCUGGUGCCAUCUCCUCUGGGUCCUGAUGAGAGGCGGCAGCAGCAGCUGCACUCUGAGGAACAGAUGUGUCGCUCAGACCUGAGGAUUGCCUGCAAGAUCUUCUUCAAGACGUCACUGAAGAUUCAUUUGCAUUAGCCUCUAGAAUGGAAAAGCACUGUCAGAGGAAUCUCAAGUCCAUACGUCACGCAGAAUCAUUUGUUUGACAUGUUGUUAUCAUUAUUUAAUUUUCAAAUUCAUUUUUUUUAACUCAAACAUACAAUUGAUCUUGUCAUGACUAGGAACAUAAAAACCAAACGCUGACUCAUCUAAUUUACUUUCGUCUCCAUUAUCUAUUACUUUCAAAAGAAUGUGACGUCUUUAAUUUGGCUUAAGAAAUAGGAGCAUGUGAGCAUUUUUAACAACCUCAAUACUGUCAGACCUUAAAGCUACAGCUCAGUCAUGAUGAUUUACCCCUAAAUCCCUCCUUUAAAGUCUAAUAAGAAUGAACAG